UCUCAGAUCAUGUGCUUUGUUUGCUAUUUUCAAGUCGUUAGGUAAGCACACAGGCAGGAAGAGGACGGCGCAGAAGAACGCAAGGCAUGAGCGCACCUCUGGUGCUUUAAAGGAGGUGGUGUGAGAAAAAUGGAUUAAUGCAACUGCAGUAAGAAUCAAUCAGGAAAAAUGAGAGAAAAAUGCAGAAGAAGAGAAAAACCAGCAAAGCAGUAGAGUAGAAAGUAGAGGUACUUCUGCUCUGAGCAGAUGUUGAAGUUAAAUGCAAAUACCUAAAACCCAGAUGCCAAAGGAACAGAGGAAAGAGUGUUGAACAGACUGCUUGUUUUGGAGAAAAAGGUUAAAUUAGCUCUUCCUUGAGCUCCACUGUGAUGAACAGACAGGGAAGAUGUUGGUGUUACCAUUCCAGCAGAAUGAUGGAAGACUCCUCACUCCUCUUUUCCAAGUCCAAUUUUGAGCUCACCAUUUCCUAUGCAAACUUUAGCUGUGAACUCUGGAUAGCUACAGGCCAUAAAAGAGCCUGAAAAUUUACAAAACAAACAACAGCCUGUGAACUUCCACAUGGGAAUCCCUCAGACAUCAGUAAAAAUCCACACUACCAAAACACUACCCAGACCUAAAACACCAAGCACAUGGUACAAGACAUCACACCACACACCUGUGUAUCCAGUUUUGGACUGGGAAGUGUUUUCCUUACAUGCAAUUUAUGACUUGUGUUUCAAUACAUACUAUUUAUGAUGCAGGCCGUUUUUUUGUUUAAUUUUUUUUAGUUUGCCUGUUUGCUUUUUUUUAAAUUCACAUUGACUACUGCAAUGAACAAUACUCUGCUUCAGAGACAGAGUGCUGUUCCAAACUCAAGAUAACAACCAAAGGCAUGGGAAAACAUCACCUUUGCAACAUAUAAUUUAGAUUUGUUCAAUAAUAUUAGGUGACAUUUUCAAAGCUGCCACUAAAAGGAGAUACUGCAUGCAUGACCAACUCAGCAUAUUCUAUGAU